rnacentral:rRNA from 1 species
CCCUGCCAUUUGUACACACCGCCCGUCGCUAGUACCGAUUGAAUGGCUUAGUGAGACCUCCGGAUCCGCGCACCUCUGAUGGCAACAUCGCUGGUGUGCAGAGAAGCUGGUCAAACUUGGUCAUUUAGAGGAAC